GCGCGCUUCCUCCUUCUGCUGCUUCCGUGUCGCCGCCGCCGCCGCCACCCGCGCCCCCGCUCCGGUCUGUGGUGCAGCCGGGACCCAGAAUCAUGUCGCUGUCACGCUCGGAGGAAAUGCACCGGCUCACGGAAAAUGUCUACAAGACCAUCAUGGAGCAGUUUAACCCCAGCCUGCGCAACUUCAUCGCCAUGGGGAAGAACUACGAGAAAGCUCUGGCAGGUGUGACCUUCGCCGCCAAAGGCUAUUUCGAUGCCCUGGUGAAGAUGGGGGAGCUGGCCAGCGAGAGUCAGGGCUCCAAGGAACUCGGGGAUGUCCUCUUCCAGAUGGCUGAAGUCCACAGGCAGAUCCAGAAUCAGCUGGAAGAGAUGCUGAAGUCUUUUCACAACGAGCUGCUCACACAGCUGGAGCAGAAGGUGGAGCUGGACUCCAGGUACCUAAGCGCUGCACUGAAGAAAUACCAGACAGAGCAGAGGAGCAAAGGAGACGCCCUGGACAAGUGCCAGGCUGAGUUGAAGAAGCUCCGCAAGAAGAGCCAGGGCAGCAAGAACCCACAGAAGUACUCAGACAAGGAGCUGCAGUACAUCGAUGCCAUCAGCAGCAAGCAGGGCGAGCUGGAGAACUACGUGUCGGAUGGCUACAAGACGGCGCUCACGGAGGAGCGGAGGAGGUUCUGCUUCCUGGUGGAGAAGCAGUGUGCCGUGGCCAAGAACUCUGCCGCCUACCACUCCAAGGGCAAGGAGCUGUUGGCCCAGAAACUGCCACUGUGGCAGCAGGCCUGUGCUGACCCCAACAAGAUCCCGGAUCGUGCCGUCCAGCUGAUGCAGCAAAUGGCCAGCAGCAACGGUUCCAUCCUCCCCAGCGCCCUGUCAGCCUCCAAGUCCAACCUGGUCAUCUCAGACCCAAUUCCUGGGGCCAAGCCCCUGCCAGUGCCCCCUGAACUGGCCCCGUUUGUGGGGCGGAUGUCUGCCCAGGAGAACGCGCCCAUCGUGAAUGGUGUCGCAGGCCCAGACAGUGAGGACUACAGCCCUUGGGCUGACCGCAAGGCUGCUCAGGCCAAGCCCCUGUCUCCCCCACAGUCGCAGAGCAAGCUCAGCGACUCCUACUCCAACACGCUCCCUGUGCGCAAGAGCGUGGCCCCGAAGAACAGCUACGCCACCACUGAGAACAAGACUCUCCCUCGCUCCAGCUCCAUGGCAGCCGGCCUGGAGCGCAACGGCCGCAUGCGGGUUAAAGCCAUCUUCUCCCACGCGGCCGGCGACAAUAGCACCCUGCUGAGCUUCAAGGAGGGCGAUCUCAUCACCCUGCUGGUGCCCGAGGCCCGUGAUGGCUGGCACUAUGGCGAGAGCGAAAAGACCAAGAUGCGGGGCUGGUUCCCCUUCUCUUACACCCGGGUCUUGGACAGUGACGGCAGUGACAGGUUGCACAUGAGCCUACAGCAGGGCAAGAGCAGCAGCACCGGCAACCUCCUGGACAAGGAUGACCUGGCCAUCCCGCCCCCUGACUACGGCACGUCCUCCCGGGCCUUCCCUACCCAGACAGCUGGUACCUUCAAGCAGAGACCCUACAGUGUGGCCGUGCCUGCCUUCUCCCAGGGCCUGGAGGACUACGGGGCACGGUCCGUGAGCAGUGGCAGUGGCACGCUGGUGUCCACAGUGUGAGGACGCUGACCACGGGCAGCUGCUCUGAAGAGCCCCCGCCUCCACCGUCCCCUCCUCCGCUCUCGUCGGAAUCCCUUUGCCAACGUCCAGCUGAAGCCGACGGUGACCAAUGAUCGGUCUGCUCCCCUCCUCAGCUGACAGCCACCUACAUCGCCACCCUCUGCCCCCACCCACAUAACUAUCUGUCACCACUUGUGAGUUCCUGUUGGGAGGACCAACGCCCAAGCCCCCUUCAGCCUCUGAAUCUUGGCUGCUCCUGGGGUUGGUGGCCCCUGGACAAGGCUGACCAGGAAGCGACCUUGAGAACCCUAGGCCUGCUGAUCCUGCCAUGGCUUUGGCAGAGGCUGGUCCUCUGAGGGCAGACACCUCUGGCCCCCGGCGGUGAGCCCUGGUGCCCCUGGUCGCAGGAGGAGCAUCAGCUGUGGACAGAAGGGCGCUGCUCCUGCUGCCCGCACCCAAGCUGGUCAAUAAGUGAGCCGCCCCACCUGUGCCAGGCCUGACUGGGCCUGUGGGGUGGGCCCUGUUCUCCAGAGCCAUCCAUCUCAGCACAUAGCUUCCCCGGGGCUCUGCCCUGCUUCCGCCCUGCCCGAGCCCCACUUCCCAUCCAGAACUGCUCCUGGCAGUGUGCCUGCUGGCUGGUAGGGUCCCGAACUCUACCUGGGACUCCUGGGUGGGACUCCCCCAGCUGUUUCCUAUAGGGGCUGGGCCGGACACAGGGCUUCAAAACUCCUGAGCAGAGCUCGUUCCCCACAGCUCUCCAGGGAGGCUCUGCAGCUCCUGGCUCGCUGCACUGCCUCCAUGCUGCGCAGGAGGCUGGCACCCGUGCUCAGGGGGCACGUGUGGACUGAGAGAACCAUAGCCUCGCUGCUCCAAAGUCUGCCUGCCUCUUCCACCCACUGCUGGGCCCGGGGACCGCCCUAGGGAGGUCUGGGAUCCACCCUCCUCACCCAGGAAGAGUGGGCUGCAGGGGUCUCCCUGCCCUGGCAGUGCAGCAGGUCGCCUGGGUGUGCCUCCUAGCCCCCAGCCAGCUGGCAGCGGGUCCCCUCAGGCAUGCCCAGGGCUUUGUCUGCAGACACCACAGAAGACACUGAGCACAAGAUUGUUUUUUUUCUUAGCAUGGUUUCUCUUAAAAAAACAAAAAAGAACAAGAAAAUCAUUGCACCAGCUUCCAAAGCCUCAAACUAAUUAAAAAAAAAAAAAAAAUCACACACACAAACUCAACAUCCC